UAGGGAGCGAGCGUUAUCCGGAAUUAUUGGGUGUAAAGGGUGCGUAGACGGGAAUACAAGUUAGUUGUGAAAUCCCUCGGCUUAACUGAGGAACUGCAACUAAAACUAUAUUUCUUGAGUGCAGGAGAGGUAAGUGGAAUUCCUAGUGUAGCGGUGAAAUGCGUAGAUAUUAGGAGGAACACCAGUGGCGAAGGCGACUUACUGGACUGUAACUGACGUUGAGGCACGAAAGUGUGGGGAGCAAA
rnacentral:rRNA from 1 species